UUUUUAUCUGAGAAAACAAAUAUAUCAUGACUAAACAAUAAUGAAAUUUCAACGACAACUAAAUGAAAAAGUAUGAUUAUUAAAUGUUUCAAAACAACAUGUAUGCAAGUAAGAGUGUGUGUGAGAAUAAUUGGACAAGGGAGGUGCACCCCAGAAUGAAUGUUGAAUAAUGUUAUAUGCUUAUACGAAGGAUUUACAGGAAACCAAUGGAAGACGAUCAAGUAGACAACAAUUUCAACAAGGACGAAUAUGGAAUUCAGCUCAAGGAAGGGUAAAAUUUGUGAGUAUAUCGUGGGGAAUCUAAAAAGAUCGAAAAGGACGGUAAAAGUUCCGAUCUAGGGAUACAUAAACUGAUAAAGCAACGCCAAAGGGAU